UCUGGAAUCAACUGAGGAAAUGUAUUAAAAAGUUCUAUUGUCAAGCAUUAAUUUAAAUGGCAUGGUGAUGAUUUAUGAGACAAGAAAAUACCAUAACCAAUACAAAAUAAUUUACAAGAUACAGAAAAUGUCAUAAUCAAACAAUUGAGUUAAAAUAAUGUAAAGGUAUUCUCGAUUUACAAUGAACUCUUUAAAAGAAUGCCUUCCACUCCUAU
rnacentral:lncRNA from 1 species